GUUGAGACCAGGAGCAUCACUUCCAUGCUUGCUGUAGAUCUUUUUGCGACAUCUCAUCAACGAACAUGAAGCUGUUUCUCCUGAUGGUUCUUGCCGCUCUCUUGACUGCAGAAUGUGUUGUUGCAGAGAGGCAAAUAAUCAAGUUGGACCCUACCAUCUAUGCAAGAGCACGGUUCACAAGAUCCAUACCAGAUCGUCGUCGUUGGUCUGGUUUCGUAGGCAGUCUGAAAAGGCGAAGUGUAUCACGUUCUGGCACGGAAUGGUGAGAUGGAGAGGAACACGUGCGCUAAGAUUCUAAUGUGCAUCAAAACAAAAUGAGCAAUAAAUCAUUUUUGUUCUGCAA